rnacentral:rRNA from 1 species
CCCUUAGAUGUUCUGGGCAGCACGCGCGCUACAAUGGUCUUCGCAAACGGAUGCAUUCUCGAAGGAGAAUGCCAAUCUUGGAAUCUAUGCCUUGGUCGGGACAGUUGCUUGCAAUUUUUCGACUCGAACCAGGAAUUCCUUGUAAUCGUGAUUCAUCACAUCACGAAGAAUACGUCCCUGCCCUUUGUACACACCGCCCGUCGCUCCUACCGAUCGAAGAGUUAGGUGAAUUGUUUUGAUCGAUAAGAUUUGACUAUGGUCAACUCUCGUUGUGAAAUUCUGUGAAUCUGACUGUUUAGAGGAAGGAAAAGUCGUAACA